rnacentral:rRNA from 1 species
UCUGCUCUCUGAUUGAAUUUAAGGGCCGCAGUUAAAUUGUGCAAAGGUAGCAUAAUCAAUAGUUUUUUAAUUGAAAACUUGUAUGAAUGAUUGAAUAAAAUAUAUAUUUUUUUAAAUAAAAUAAUGUAAUUUAAAUUUUUAGUGAAAAAGCUAAAAUAUAAAAAAAAGACGAAAAGACCCUAUAGAUUUUUAUUUUUAUUUUAUUUUAUUUCAAAUAAAAUAAGAAUUUGAUUGGGGUGAUAUAAAAAUUUAUGAAACUUUUUUUAUUAUAUUCAUGGAUAAAUGAAUUAAAUUUAACUUUAAAUUAAAAAUUUAGAUUAAAAUACCUUAGGGAUAACAGCGUAAUUUUAAUUUUAAUUAAAAUUAAAAUUAAAGAUUGCGACCUCGAUGUUGAAUUAAAAUAAAAUUUUAGAAAAAAGCUUUAAUKUYAGGUCUGYYCGACCUUUAUUUUUUACSUGAUCU